GGAUCUUGCUCUGUUGCCCAGGCUGGAGUGCAGUGGCAUGAUCACAAGUCACUGCAGCCUCGACCUCCUGGGUUCAAGUGAUCCUCCCUGAUCUGUCUCCAGAGUAAUGGGACUACAGGUAUGUGCCACCACACCCAGCUAAUUUAUUAUCAUUAUUAUUAUUUAUAGAGACAGAGUCUCACUAUGUUGCCCAGGAUGGUCUUAAAGCUUCAAGCAAUCCUGUGGCCUCAGCCUCCCAAAUAGUGGGACUGCAGGCAUGAGCCACCAUGCCUGGCCCACAUCUUGUCCUGUCUUCCUUCUCCUCUCUUCUCUUCUCCUCUCCUCUCUUUCUGUUUUUCUCUUCUCUCUCUACCUAUCUAUCUAUCCAUCCAUCCAUCCACCCAUCCAUCCAAGCAUUAAUAUCCCCUGUAAGCCUGUAAUCUAAGCCCACUGCCAGUUAUCUUUCCAGCCGCAGCUUUUUCAAGCUAGUUUCUUUCUCUCUUGCAUUGUAGCUCACCUUUCAGUGAGAGAUUUUCUACAACCUUUAGUGCAGAACUUGGCUUUUGCAGCUAUCUUCAGUUCUGAAGAGAAUCUCAGAAUUCCUUCAAGACUUAGUGAUAGUCAACCUAUAGUUCCAUAUCAAGCAAUUUAAGCACAUCUCAAAAAGCUGGUAUGGAGCAAAAAUGUGACUGUUAUUUAAUAGUUUUUAACAGGAAAUGCGGUGAGAGACAUUAUUCUAAUGGUAACUAAUGCAAAGGUGACUUACAACCCUGUUAUCCAAAAGAGGAGUUCCAUGCUGUAUGUUAUACUCCACCAGUCCCUUGAGGAUGGAAUUUUAUCUAACUGCUCUAUCUCUAGUUUUUAGGAAAGUGCCACAGAAAGUCCUCAAUAAAUAGUCUGUGAAUGAAUGAGCGCCUAUGCUCUGACUCUUAAACCAGAGCAUCUGGUUUACCUCCCACCCUUCUUACAAUAUUCAUCUUCCACAAGGAAAAGGAAAUAUCAAAAAUAAUCUAAAGUUUUUUUUCUGUUCUCUUCCUAAGCAAUUCAAUCCUAAAGCCAUUACGUGGGGCAGAGCAAAGCAGAAGUCUAGAGUGGGGAGCUGGGGGGCUGUGGUGGCCCAUGGGAUGUCAGAGUGCAAGGGGGCAUGGAAGGCGUGUUGCUAAAGAAAAUAUACUGCAAAAGGUCCCAUAAUUGUAUAAUGGCAAUAUACCCCGCAGGUGGCCGUUUACACAGAAUUUGCUGAAUCAGCAUUAUCCAUGUGACCAGUAUGAUAUUUUACUUUCAGCAGGCAUGUUCAAUAGACCCUUGAUGUUCAAUAAAUAUUCAUGAUUUUGACUAUAUGGAGCAACCUCCAAAAAUACAUUAUGUGUAAUGACUAGGAAGUUUACUGAGGCACAAACUGGAAUCGUGGCAUCGUGAGACUGGUAUACAGAGUGGAUCAUUCCACUGAUUUGUGGCCUUGGCCAACAUCUGGCAUAACAUCAUAACCUUUUGAUCAGUCAUCUUUAGCAAAUAUUCAGAGUGAGGAACUGGGGAAAAAUGCUAUUAGGCAACUGGCCAUUUUCUGACCUCAGUCCCAUCAAGGUUGCUGGAGAAAUGCUCUUCACCAGUCUUUUUUCCCAUCUCACAGCUACUUAGAUAUAAAGGUACUCUAUGUCCCAUUCAUCAGUCCUGUGGAGAGGAUGCCAAUGUUCGAGAGAGUUUUCGUCCCUGCUCUUCGGACCCUCAUUUGGGCUUCUUUUAUGUGACAAAUAGAAGGAUUAGGGGUCACAUCAGCAAAUGAUUCUGUAUUCUUGGCAUCGCUGAGGAAGCUAAGGGCACCACCAUGAUUGACAUACAGGGAAAAAACAAAAAACUCCAAUUACUGCUUAGGAGGGAGAACUAAUUCUACCCAAAGGAGGGAAGCACCAUCUGAAGCAUGUCAAACUUGGCCUGCAACCAAAUUCUGCCAUCGGGUGGAGUCUCUCCUUCCAUCUGGGUAAUAAGAAGUUGCAGAUGGAAAAAGCCUGCUGGACUACUGCAUGUACUAUAUGCCUCUUCUGUAAGAAAUCACCUUUAAAAAGAAAAGUUUCAAAGUUUAUCCAAUUUGGAUGGAGAACGGCAUUGCAAGAUAAGUAGUGGCUUUAAAGCAUGUCCAUACUUCUUUGACACUCCUCCCAUCAACAGGGGAAGUCUACUUCUUUUCCCCUUGAGCAUGAGCUAUUCAACUGGCUUGCUGCCAACAAACAGAAUGAGGAGGAAGUGAUACUGUGUGACUUCCAAGGCUAGGUCAUAAAAAAUUAUGCAGGUCUUGAGAUGCUUACUCUUGGAAGUCAGCCACCAUGCUAUAAGGAAGCCCAAGCCACAUAAAGAAGACACAUAGGUGUUCUGGCUGACAGCCCCAGCUGAGAUCUAGCCAAGAGCCAGCAUCCAGACAUAUGAGUGAGAAAGCCACUCAGCUGCCUCCAGCCCCAGCCACUAUCUGAUGGCUAAUGCAUUACAGAUCCUGAGUAAGAACUGGCCAGUUGAGCCCAUCAACUCCCAGAACCACGAGAAGAAACAAUAAUCAACUAUUGUUGUUUUACGCCACUAAGUAUGGAUGACUGUUACACAGCAAUAGCUGGAACAAAUGCUUCUGGCUAAUUUGCCCUUUACAGUAAUCACUCCAGUCGUCUUAUCUUCCAUAGAGAAAUAGUUCUGCUUAUGCUGGAGCUAAGGGCUGGCUCCCUUCAACCAGAUUACUCUCUACAACAUAGGACAAAAAUGAAUAUAAGUGCAAUGGACUCUGUAGGCCUCAGAGCUGCUGGGUUCACCUCUUAGAGGGUAAAAGGAGAGCCAUGGUCUUAGUAAAGUCCCCAGAACAGCUAAAGUUCAGUGGCCACUGAGAAUCCUACGUAGGCACUGAAAGAACAUAAUAAGCGUAUAUGAUAUCAGCACAGUCCCCAACUUGCCCUUUGACUAGAAAAGGCCCCUCUCCUGCCAUACCAGCUAAAGGUUCAACAUCUAACUCCUUAUUUGUAUUUACUCUUCAUCUAUAAUUGCCUGGCCAACAUGGUGAAACCCUGUCUCUACAAAAAACACAAAAAUCAGUUAGGUGUGGUAGUCCGUGCCUGCAGUCCCACCUACUUGGGAGACUGAGAUGGGAGGAUGGCUUGAGUCCAGGAGGUGGAGGUUGCAGUGAACAGAGAUUGUGUCACUGCACUCUAGCCUGGGCAACAGAGCGAGACCCUGUCUUAAAAAGAAAAAAAUAGAGAAAAAUAAAAUCUCACAAUCCCCAAACUAAAGGUGAAAGCAGAGCAAGCAAGACAAAAGGGACAUAUAAUGAAGGAGGACAGUGGGUGGAAAGUGGCUGUGCAAAGCACUGACAGGGCCUCCCAACUUGUUUCCGAAGCUACAAACAGGCCCUGUUGCUCAUGAAGCCAACUCCAAUAUCCUGGAGAGGCAUUUCCCACCAGACUCCCACAACCAAACAUCUCUCAGCACACUUAGAUAGGCACCCACCACUGAGCUGGUGAUUUAUUGCAACACUCUCCCUUCACUCCUCUCUGGGGACUCUCAGAGUAGGCAUUACAUCUGCCCACUUGUCAGCUAUUUCAUUCAUGUAACAAUUAUAUCAUGCUUCAAAGAAAAAAAAAUCUUUUAUUUUAGAAAGUAUGUAAUAUGAGAUGGCCACAGAGUAACAAAUGUGUCUGGUCUAAAAAGUGAUAUUGUCAAAUAGUUUAGACUCCGCAUCCUAAGAGUUUGAUAAACCUUUAUAAAAUUAGCCAGAGAGACAUGGCAAACUCAGGGAAUGGAAGUUGCAGUUCUGGUACUAGUUGUGUGAGCAGGGACUAGAACGUGUUGAUUAAGAUCUUAUGCCUGGAUCUUCUCUCAAACUAAUGGGGUCUGGGGUUUGUAGGCCUCUAAUAAGGCAAAGAAGCAGCCAAUUAGGAAAAGAAGUGAACGAACAUCUGGGCUGUCAUUCUCCCAAAUGGUCUAACACCACUUAGCCUUAUUUAGUAAGUACUUCUCCAUCACUCCAACAAUAAGGAUGUUGCUUAUCUUGCAACAAUUUCAACAGGCUUCUUCAUACAUUCACAGACAUGUGGAAUUCCUAAAUUUGCCCCAAUCACAAAAUUGUCCCAAUCAUCUUUAGGUUGCAACUCCCUGAAGUGGAAACUCCAAUUACAUAUAACUCACAGUAUAAUUUUUUUUUGUAUUGAGACAGUCUCGCUCUGUCACCAGGCUGGAAUGCAGUGGUGCGAUCUCGGCUCACUGCAACCUCCACCUCCCGGGUUCAAGUGAUUCUCCUGCUUCAGCCUCCCGAGUAGCUGGGACUACAGGCAUGCACCACCACGCCCAGCUAAUUUUUGUAUUUUUAGUAGAGAUGGGGUUUCACUAUGGCCAGGAUGGUCUCAAUCUCUUCACCUAUGAUCCGCUCGCCUUGGCCUCCCAAAGUCCUGGGAUUACAGGCAUGAGCCACCGUGCCCGGCUGAUUCCUUUUUUUUUUUUUUUUUAAACAAACAAACAAACAUGCUGGUACUGCCUUCAAACUACCCUGAUUGCUUCUCUUUCAGACAGCUGAGGCCCAAUCUAGGCCACAAUAAUAAGAAUUGUCAGCAAGUUAAAUCAAAUAAGUAAACCAUGGGCAAAUCCACAUAGUAAAUGGACUAUGGAACAAAGAAAAUAUAUCUAUGUAUCUUCUUUCUCCCAUCCUGCUUUUUGGAACAAGUCUCUUUGCUCGGGUCACAUUAAAGCAAGAUGACCAUAUAUUUCAAUUUAUCCAGGACAGGACCCCUUUUACUUUCAAAAGACUUCUGAUGUGGAUGAUACAUUAUAGAUUACCUUACAUAAAAGCAAAUUCAAACCAGCCAAAGAGGUAAAUAGAACUUUUUGAUGCUGACUAAUGGGCCCCUCAUCCAACAGGCAUUUUAUAUCUUUCCACUUUUACUCAUGAUUGCUUCUUGAAUUAAAUAAGUGGUUCUUCCCUCCUUACCACCAGUACUUAUUUAAUCCUACUUUUCUUCAGCUCAAGCACCCCCUCCUUCUGGAAGCCUUCUAAGUGUACUCUAAUCUCCACAGGUCCCUCCUUUCUUUAAAGUUCUAGCACAUGAUUUGGUGCCUCUAUGGUCUUAACACUAUUUUCAAGUUGUUUUCAUAUGUGUAGGUCUUCCUGCAAAAGUUGUAAGUUAUUCAAGGGAAAAGCCUGUGUCUAAUCACUUCCUUUAUGUGCCUUAAAGAAUCUAACUCUAGGCCGGGUGUGGUGGCUCACACCUGUAAUCCCAGCACUUUGGGAGGCUGAGGCAGGCGGAUCAUGAGGUCAGGAGAUUGAGACCAUCCUGGCUAACAUGGUAAAACCCUGUCUCUACUAAAAAAUACAAAAAAUCAGCCAGGCAUGGUGGCACGCGCCUGUAGUCCCAGCUACUCGGGAGGCUGAGGCAGGAGAAUCACUUGAACCCAGGAGGCAGAGGUUGCAGUGAGCCAAGGUCAUGCCACUGCACUCCAGCCUGGGUGACAGAGCGAGACUCCGUCUCAAAAAAUAAAAAAUAAAAUAAAAUAAAAAAGAAUCUAACUCUAUAACAAGGGCAUACCAGAUAUUCAGUAAAUACUUUCUGAUCUCCAAACCUGCCUAACCAGCUGACUUAAGAACAUACCAGGAAAACUCCAGGUGUCUCCCCACUGCUCACUCCUCUUGCAACACCCUGUACUUUCCUCUUACAACACAUAACACAUUUUGUAAUUACCUAUUGAUUUGUGUGGCUAUUUGUUUAAGGUCAGCCUCACCAUUGUAUCGUAAGGUCCAAGAGGACAGCGACCUGGUAUGUACUGUUAUUUAUCCCUGUCUACCUAUGAUUUAUCAUAGUGCCUGGCAAUGUUCAAUAAAUAUUUGCUAACUGGAGAUGAGUGAUGGGUGGACAGACAGACAAUGGAAGAAAGAACAAAUGAUCUGAGAAAAACCAUAAAAAAAGCAGGGUUAGAUUUUAGGAACUUAAACAUUUGAGAAAUUAACCUACUUACAUUUCUAAACAAAUCAUGUGGCUAUGUGUCAUAGGCCUAUUAAAACCUUUUUCUUUUCUCAGAAAGAGCUAGAGAAUAGUGAGGUGUGCAGCCCCAUCUUAUCUAGGGUCUAAGACGUAAAUGACCAUUAUAUAUGAAUGGACCAUUAUUUCUCAUUAAUAUAUAAAUUGCUAAAGUACAAAAACCAUUGUUUCAAGAUGACAGAGGAACUUUAAUUGCUCCAGUAAAUAAGUGUGAAGGCAUUUCAAGAUUAUGCUCACAAAAGCAUUUCAUGCAUCACCUCAGCUCUGAGGCACACAGGCUCUGACAGUACAGUCUACCUUAAUUGGCCCAAAGUCAGCAACAUCAUAUGUCAUGGUGCUGACAGACAGAAACUGCUGUGGCAAAAUUGGCUGUGGCAUCCUGCUGUUUUUGCAGUUAGACCAAUAUAUACUAGAAAAUGCUGAGGAAGAUAAAUGUAAAGAAAAUCAGCAUAAUUCUGGAACCCUAGACAGCCUGCUGAUUAAUUAAAAGGCUUAACGUUUCUAUAAUGUUUUAGAAUGUAAACGGACUUUCAUAUAUUCAAUCUCAUUUAAUUCUUAUAACAAUCCCAGAAAAUACAUAAAAUAGUUACUGUUUUACUGAUAUAGAAAUUUUGGAAUCAGAAUGGUAUGAACAGCAAGUGGCCAGGAUUAAAUUCACAGGUCUGCAAACCUCAUGCUGUCUUCACUAUACUUUACACAUGAACUGUACCUCUUCAGCUCUUUACCCAAAUGAUUCUUUCCUUCUCAACAGGUGGUUGUGAAAAUCAUGCCCUGAACACAAUUUAUGGGAAAUGAAAAUUCUCUGAAGGCAUUCCCCUGUUACCAGGAAGGUUGUUUGAGAUCUGCUGUCCCCUCAGAGCUGGGGAACUUUCCAGGCCCAGGUCUCAUGUUGUCACAGUUUUCUCAAAUAAAAAAUGAAGGCACAAUAGAGCCCUACCCCCAAAUACUAUAACAAACAACAAGCCAGGUACCAAAGAACACGUGUGAUUCUGAGAACUUCCUACCAUCACUGUUGCUUCUAUCUCUCCAGCUGUCUCCUAUUACUACUGCAGUUCUGGCAAUGUCUUGAACACCCAUCCAUGAUCCUACCACCUUUCACUGUCUCCCACUCUCCCAGUGCUUUCCCCCAACUUCCCUCCUUACCAACUUAAGGUCACGGUUACUCAUUAGAUCACUUCCCUGCAGAAACCUUCGGUUCCCUUGUUCCUUCAGGCUGUGUUGAACUUUCUUAACUAAAGCCCAAGCCCCUACACAAAGAUGUGUGGAGAAGGUUCAUAGCAGCAUUAUUCCUAAUAGCCAAAAAGUAUAAAUGAUUGAAAUGUCCAUCAGUUAGUGAAGGAUUAAACAAUGGAACAGUAUUCAGCAAUAAAAACAGACAACUACUGAUAAAUGCUAUAACAUGAAUGAACCUCAAAAACAGGCUGAGUGAAAGAAGCCAGACACUAAACUCCACAUAUGAUUGCACUUAUAUGAAAUGUCCAGAAAAGGCAAUCUAUAGAAGCAGAGAAUAGAUUAGCGGGAUGCCCGGAGACGGCAGUGGGAAUGAGGUAUCUUACUGCAGUGAUAAAAAUGUUUUAAAAUUGAACUGUGGCAAUGGUUAUACAACUUGGUAACAUUAGUAAUAAUCAUUUAAUUGUAUACUUUAAAUGGAUGAACUGGAUAUGUAAACUAUACUGCAAUAAAGUUUAAAAAAAAACA